AGAGGUCAGCUCCUAGGCAGGGAUCUUGCCUCUUUGCUGCCUGCGGCCAGGACUAAGCAAGAGCCAGCCCCCCACCCCACCCCCGGCCGUGCAGAAAAGACUCCACUGGAGACGCAAAUCGCUCGUCCGCGCCGCCGCUGCCGCUGCCGCCGCCGCCUGCGUCGCCGGGGUGAGAGGCGCACGAUCCGAGCGCACUGCGGAUUCCGCCCGAGGCUUCUAGCACCCAAGUAAUUCGCUCCGAACUCUCCGGAACCCUCGGAGCCGGCGCCCCUCGCCCGCGCGCCCCUCUCACGGUGCCGCAGCCGCCACCGCUGCGCUCAAGUCUGGACCCAGAUGUUUCCAGCAGCAGCGCCGUCCAGUAAUUACGAGGGCUCGACUGGCGCCGAGUGUGCCCGGCCGGCAUCCGAGGACCGACCUCCUCCAGCCGAGCCCUUCACACCUCCCUUUUUCCUAGCGCUUUCCCG
rnacentral:lncRNA from 1 species